GAGGCUGUGGUUCUGUGGUAGAGCGCUUGCCUAGCAUGCGUGAGGCACUGAGUUUGAUCCUCAGCACCACA
rnacentral:tRNA from 1 species